GACCUUUUUCGAAAGGUAUGCUUAAAGAGGGGCUUGCGACACAUUACGUUAGGUGGUAGGGUAAAAGCCUACCAAGACUAUGAUGUGUACGUUGGACUGAGAGGUCGAACAGCCACAUUGGGACUGAGACACGGCCCAAACUCCUACGGGAGGCAGCAGUAGGGAACUUUCGGCAAUGGAGGAAACUCUGACCGAGCAACGCCGCGUGAACGAUGAAGUAUUUCGGUAUGUAAAGUUCUUUUAUUGAAGAAGAAAAAAUAGUGGAAAAACUAUAUUGACGCUAUUCAAUGAAUAAGCCCCGGCAAACUAUGUGCCAGCAGCCGCGGUAAUACAUAGGGGGCAAGCGUUAUCCGGAAUUAUUGGGCGUAAAGGGUGCGUAGGCGGUUUAAUAAGUCUGUAGUUUAAUUUCAGUGCUUAACACUGUCCUGCUAUAGAAACUAUUAGACUAGAGUGAGAUAGAGGUAAGCGGAAUUCCAUGUGUAGCGGUAAAAUGCGUAAAUAUAUGGAGGAACACCACAGGCGUAGGCGGCUUACUGGGUCUUUACUGACGCUGAGGCACGAAAGCGUGGGGAGCAAACAGGAUUAUAUACCCUGGUAGUCCACGCCGUACACGAUGAGUACUAAGUGUCGGGGAAACUCGGUACUGAAGUUAACACAUUAAGUACUCCGCCUGAGUAGUACGUACGCAAGUAUGAAACUUAAAGGAAUUGACGGGACUCCGCACCAGCGGUGGAUCAUGUUGUUUAAUUCAAAGAUACACG
rnacentral:rRNA from 1 species